rnacentral:rRNA from 1 species
CGCGUAGGCGGCUUGGCAAGUGGAUGGUGAAAUCCCUCGGCUUAACCGAGGAACUGCCGUCCAAACUGCUUCGCUUGAGACCGGGAGAGGUGAGUGGAAUUCCCAGUGUAGCGGUGAAAUGCGUAGAUAUUGGGAGGAACACCAGUGGCGAAGGCGGCUCACUGGACCGGUACUGACGCUGAUGCGCGAAAGCGUGGGGAGCAAACG